rnacentral:lncRNA from 1 species
GUCUGAGGUUCCUUGGUUCCUUAUUGAGAUGUCAAUGGCAAAUGACCUUUCAUUUAUCUAUAAAAAAACUAAAGCUUCUCAGUCUGGCCAAGAAGAUUUUCCAAAACCAGGGCAUCAUCUAUAUUUACAAUCUUAUUUUUUGAGUAUUGACUUUUUUAUAUAAAUAAAUGUAUAAAAUACGUAUACCAUUAGUUCUGCAGGUCUCCAUUCAGCAGGUUGGCAAGUAGUAUUGAAAAGCUGUGGGCUCAGCGCUACUCUUAUUCUCUCCAUCAAUAAGUACCAAGUUUGGCAGGUGUAUAAGAAACAUCAUUCUUCUGGAAUAAGAAUUAUUCUGUUCUUCUGAGCCUUAGGUGCCUGGUGUGGGUCCCUCCGUGCCCGGGUGUUCACAGACAUCUGUUUCUUCAUGCCCCUUGAGAAUUUGCCCUGCAUUUUCUUGUUGCACUGGAGCCAAUUACAACCCAACCUUUUUCAGCCAAUGUCUUCUCCCUGGUCUUUGGAUCUUGCUCCUUCUAUUUGUGAUUUGCCCUGAUAACCUUUCUCAAUUUUGUGCCUCAAAAUUCAUCCUAGCAACAUACAGCUUCUUGUUUAUACAUUUUUCUUGUCUUUAGAACUUUGCUCACAUUGCACUUUUGCCUGGAAUGUCUUAGCCAAUCAAACUUCUGCAUCUUGGAAGAUCCAAGUCAGAUGUCAAUUCAUCCAGGAUCACUUUCUCAGUCCAUAGACUUGGUAAAUUUUCUUUUAUUCUUCCACAGUAAACCAAAUUGCAAUUUACUGUUUUUCAUUAUGUAAAUCAGUUUUACUUAAUAAUUUUCAGCAUGGGAAACUCUUAUAAAAAGGAUCCAAGCACAGGACACAGGGCUACAUCAAACAGCAUUCUUUAGAACUUCCACCCUUCUUUGUGACUCCCCCAAGCUCCCUGGUGAUCUCUGUUUCCAAGUACUCCUGCAAAGCACAGCACAAGCUCAGUUCUUGUUCUCAACCCACUGGCUUCAGUUCACAUGACCACACUUGCAGUGCAGUAACAGAAAAGAACACACACCAUACAGCAUUCAUAGUGGUUGACAAAGGGGAAUUAUAUAACUUCCAGCAGUCAUUUUCAACUAAGGAGAUGAAAUGAAGGUUGAAUCAGAGUCACCCGUGACACUGUCAACACACUCUCUCCUCUCAACAGGCCCCAUUUUCUCCUAGAGAUUCUAGCACAUUCUUGUCUCGGGGGCAGCAUGGAUAGACUCUGCCACUGUGAUCAAUAGUUACUUAUAAGAGUGGGUUGUAUCUCCCAAAUACUGGGAUGGGGAAAAGGUAGAGAAAGAACUCUGUUGUCUUGGAGCAACAUUUCUCAACAGUGUCCUAGGUCUUCGAGUAUUUGUGAAGUUAGCAACAGAGACCUGCGGGUAAUGUUCAUUAUUUUUUAAAACAACCUUAUGGAAACUUUAUAUCUAAUAAAGCUGCUCUAGCUGCUGGCUGAAACCAUGUCUCUUGUCUUCAAGCUAAAAUUAUAUCAACUGAUGGUGAUGAGGUGACUAGUGUAAA